CUGGGAGGACCAUCUCCUAAGGCUAAAUACUCUCUAGUGACCGAUAGUGAACCAGUACCGUGAGGGAAAGGUGAAAAGCACCCCGGAAGGGGAGUGAAAUAGAACCUGAAACCGUGUGCUUACAAGUAGUCAGAGCCCGUUAAUGGGUGAUGGCGUGCCUUUUGUAGAAUGAACCGGCGAGUUACGAUUUGAUGCAAGGUUAAGCAGUAAAUGUGGAGCCGUAGCGAAAGCGAGUCUGAAUAGGGCGUUUAGUAUUUGGUCGUAGACCCGAAACCAGGUGAUCUACCCUUGGUCAGGUUGAAGUUCAGGUAACACUGAAUGGAGGACCGAACCGACUUACGUUGAAAAGUGAGCGGAUGAACUGAGGGUAGCGGAGAAAUUCCAAUCGAACCUGGAGAUAGCUGGUUCUCUCCGAAAUAGCUUUAGGGCUAGCCUCAAGUGAUGAUUAUUGGAGGUAGAGCACUGUUUGGACGAGGGGCCCCUCUCGGGUUACCGAAUUCAGACAAACUCCGAAUGCCAAUUAAUUUAACUUGGGAGUCAGAACAUGGGUGAUAAGGUCCGUGUUCGAAAGGGAAACAGCCCAGACCACCAGCUAAGGUCCCAAAAUAUAUGUUAAGUGGAAAAGGAUGUGGCGUUGCCCAGACAACUAGGAUGUUGGCUUAGAAGCAGCCAUCAUUUAAAGAGUGCGUAAUAGCUCACUAGUCGAGUGACACUGCGCCGAAAAUGUACCGGGGCUAAACAU
rnacentral:rRNA from 1 species